GACGGGUGAGUAAUGCAUAGGAAUCUGCCCGAUAGUGGGGGAUAACCUGGGGAAACCCAGGCUAAUACCGCAUACGUCCUACGGGAGAAAGGGGGCUUCGGCUCCCGCUAUUGGAUGAGCCUAUGUCGGAUUAGCUAGUUGGUGAGGUAACGGCUCACCAAGGCGACGAUCCGUAGCUGGUCUGAGAGGAUGAUCAGCCACAUCGGGACUGAGACACGGCCCGAACUCCUACGGGAGGCAGCAGUGGGGAAUAUUGGACAAUGGGGGCAACCCUGAUCCAGCCAUGCCGCGUGUGUGAAGAAGGCCCUCGGGUUGUAAAGCACUUUCAGCGAGGAAGAACGCCUGGUGGUUAAUACCCAUUAGGAAAGACAUCACUCGCAGAAGAAGCACCGGCUAACUCCGUGCCAGCAGCCGCGGUAAUACGGAGGGUGCAAGCGUUAAUCGGAAUUACUGGGCGUAAAGCGCGCGUAGGUGGCUUGAUAAGCCGGUUGUGAAAGCCCCGGGCUCAACCUGGGAACGGCAUCCGGAACUGUCAAGCUAGAGUGCAGGAGAGGAAGGUAGAAUUCCCGGUGUAGCGGUGAA
rnacentral:rRNA from 1 species